rnacentral:rRNA from 2 species
AUGCAAGUCGAGCGGGCGUAGCAAUACGUCAGCGGCAGACGGGUGAGUAACGCGUGGGAACGUACCUUUUGGUUCGGAACAACACAGGGAAACUUGUGCUAAUACCGGAUAAGCCCUUACGGGGAAAGAUUUAUCGCCGAAAGAUCGGCCCGCGUCUGAUUAGCUAGUUGGUGAGGUAAUGGCUCACCAAGGCGACGAUCAGUAGCUGGUCUGAGAGGAUGAUCAGCCACAUUGGGACUGAGACACGGCCCAAACUCCUACGGGAGGCAGCAGUGGGGAAUAUUGGACAAUGGGGGCAACCCUGAUCCAGCCAUGCCGCGUGAGUGAUGAAGGCCCUAGGGUUGUAAAGCUCUUUUGUGCGGGAAGAUAAUGACGGUACCGCAAGAAUAAGCCCCGGCUAACUUCGUGCCAGCAGCCGCGGUAAUACGAAGGGGGCUAGCGUUGCUCGGAAUCACUGGGCGUAAAGGGUGCGUAGGCGGGUCUUUAAGUCAGGGGUGAAAUCCUGGAGCUCAACUCCAGAACUGCCUUUGAUACUGAAGAUCUUGAGUCCGGGAGAGGUGAGUGGAACUGCGAGUGUAGAGGUGAAAUUCGUAGAUAUUCGCAAGAACACCAGUGGCGAAGGC